rnacentral:lncRNA from 1 species
CAACCGCAUGGAACGGGGGGAAAAUCAGGAAUAGGGCAUGCUCUCUCUCUCUCUCUCUCUUUGGGGAAGAGGGGCCAUGUGCCCUUUCUCUUUAUGAGAGGCAUGAGAGGGGCCGUGUGCCUCCUCCCUUGUGCGAAAAAGAAAGUGAGAGAAGGAAAUAGCACGAUGAAGCCCUAUUCCCCUUCUCCUUAUCGUUCUCCUUUGCCCAUUGUGAUCGCCCCCUAUUCCACAACUAACAUUUCUUCAUCCUGAAUCUCUUUCCUUCUCUCUUGCUUGCUCCGAUUUUCUCUAUCUGCCACCCACGAUCCUUCUCUUUCAUGAUCAAAUCUCCUUUCUCUCUUGCAUGUCGUGUUCGAUGCUGUGCAAGCUGCUUCUUCCUCCCUCUUAGGCCCCUGGUAAGCCAUCUUGUUAACUUCUAUUUCUUUCUCAUACCAAGGAGACAGGAACUAAAGCACAUAUCGGGCUCUUCUUUUUCCUCAAUGACUGGCAGCGAGCGGCUGUGCCGUAAGUACAUAGUGCAAGUAGCAGUCGCCUAGGACCGUGGUACAGGUGGCAGCAACAUGGGGGGCUGACCCAAGGGAAAAGAAGAGAAGAAGAAAAUAAAGGAAAGAAAGAAGAGAAGAAGAAGAAGAAGAAAAAGAAUAGAGGAAGAUGGAGAUCAUGUGCGUGAUAGAGAGGAACAGGAGAGCAUGAUAGGGAAGAUGGAAAGAGCAAUG